GUGACCUCAAAUCAGGUAGGACUACCCGCUGAACUUAAGCAUAUCAAUAAGCGGAGGAAAAGAAACUAACAAGGAUUCCCCUAGUAACUGCGAGUGAAGCGGGAAAAGCUCAAAUUUAAAUCUGGCG
rnacentral:rRNA from 1 species